GAUUGGUUAGACAUAUUGAUGUGCUGACCUAAUUUAAUCAGUCAGAUGUCAGAUCUAUUGAUUUAGAAGAAAUCUAAAUCUAAAUCUUCUCAUUAAAUAUUAAGUCUAGAGGUCUUCUAUCAUCGUAGAGAUACGGGUGCCUUCCUGAUGUUAAUCAUUCUUGGUUGGUUACAGUGGUUCAGUUGCAUCAAAAAGGUACAACUACUC
rnacentral:lncRNA from 1 species